AUUGAACGCUGGCGGCAGGCUUAACACAUGCAAGUCGAGCGGAGCGAGGGUGCUUGCACCUUAGCUUAGCGGCGGACGGGUGAGUAAUGCUUAGGAAUCUGCCUAUUAGUGGGGGACAACAUUCCGAAAGGGAUGCUAAUACCGCAUACGCCCUACGGGGGAAAGCAGGGGAUCUUCGGACCUUGCGCUAAUAGAUGAGCCUAAGUCGGAUUAGCUAGUUGGUGGGGUAAAGGCCUACCAAGGCGACGAUCUGUAGCGGGUCUGAGAGGAUGGUCCGCCACACUGGGACUGAGACACGGCCCAGACUCCUACGGGAGGUAGCAGUGGGGAAUAUUGGACAAUGGGCGGAAGCCUGAUCCAGCCAUGCCGCGUGUGUGAAGAAGGCCUUUUGGUUGUAAAGCACUUUAAGCGAGGAGGAGGCUACUAGUAUUAAUACUACUGGAUAGUGGACGUUACUCGCAGAAUAAGCACCGGCUAACUCUGUGCCAGCCGCCGCAGUAAGAC
rnacentral:rRNA from 1 species